GUAAUACUCCCUCCGUUCGGAAUUACUUGUCCAAGAAAUGAAUGUAUCUAGAUGUAUUUUAGUUGUAGAUACAUCCAUUUUUAUCCAUUUUUGUGACAAGUAAUUCCGAACGGAGGGAGUAGAUA
rnacentral:pre_miRNA from 1 species